CCAACAUCUCCAAAGAAAAGGCCCCAAGCCUAGUCCUGCUGGCUAAGAUUACUUAAGAUUACUUUUAUUUUGCCUUUAAAUGAGAGAGAGAGAGAGAGAGAGAGAGAGAGAGAGCACCUGUACAUGAGAAGAGAAAUGGACAGAGGACAUACUGGAGGCUGAACACUGCACUUGGAGGAGGGGUAGUGGCUUUCACUGCCUGGUCUCCAGUGUGGUCAGGUCUCACUGGGCUUGGAACUGUGCACUUGCCUGUUCAAAAGGCAAGAGGCAGAGGAGUGGCCAUCUUCAGGCCUCCAGGAUCCAGGGAAGGGAGGCAGAGAGGGAAGGUAGAGGUUUGUUGAGAGAAAUGGAGGAGGAAAAUGGAACCACAGAGGGGGCACGUGCGGAGAGAAGCUCCUGUCUGGGCAGAAGCUGAGGUGCGUCCAUGGUGUUGGAGGUGUGUCCAUGUUGGUGGAGGCAAGUCCAUGACACUGGAGGCAUGCCUAUGGCAUUGAAGACGUGUUCAUGAUGUUAGGUGUGUCCAUGGUGUUGGAGGUGUGCCAUGGUGUUAGAGGUGUGUCCAUGGUGUUAGAAGUGUGUCCAUGGUGUUGGAGGUGUGCCCAUGGUGUUGGAGGUGUGUCCAUGGUGUUGGAGGUGUGCCAUGGUGUUGGAGGUGUGCCAUGGUGUUGGAGGUGUGUCCAUGGUGUUGGAGGUGUGCCGUGGUGUUGGAGGUGUGUCCAUGGUGUUGGAGAUGUGCCCAUGGUGUUGGAGAUGUGUCCACGGUGUUGGAGGUGUGUCAUGUUGUUGGAGGCGUGUCCAUGGUGUUGGAGGUGUGUCCAUGGUGUUGGAGAUGUGCCCAUGGUGUUGGAGGCGCGUCCAUGGUGUUGGAGGUGCGUCCAUGGUGUUGGAGGUGUGUCAUGGUGUUGGAGGUGUGUCCAUGGGGUUGGAGGUGUGUCCAUGGUGUUGGAGAUGUGCCCAUGGUGUUGGAGGCGUGUCCAUGGUGUUGGAGGUGUGUCCAUGGUGUUGGAGAUGUGCCCAUGGUGUUGGAGGCGCGUCCAUGGUGUUGGAGGUGCGUCCAUGGUGUUGGAGGUGUGUCAUGGUGUUGGAGGUGUGUCCAUGGGGUUGGAGGUGUGUCCAUGGUGUUGGAGAUGUGCCAUGGUGUUGGAGGUGUGCCAUGGUGUUAGAAGUGUGUCCAUGGUGUUGGAGAUGUGCCCAUGGUGUUGGAGGUGUGUCCAUGGUGUUGGAGGUGUGUCCAUGGUGUUGGAGGUGUGCCAUGGUGUUGGAGGUGUGU
rnacentral:lncRNA from 1 species